rnacentral:tRNA from 1 species
AGUAAUAUGUCUGAUAAAAGAAAUAUUUUGAUAAAAUAUAAAUGUAUACAUAAAUAUACUAUUACUU